rnacentral:rRNA from 1 species
GAGUGAACGCUGGCGGUAGGCCUAACACAUGCAAGUCGAACGGCAGCACAGUAAGAGCUUGCUCUUACGGGUGGCGAGUGGCGGACGGGUGAGGAAUACAUCGGAAUCUACUUUUUCGUGGGGGAUAACGUAGGGAAACUUACGCUAAUACCGCAUACGACCUACGGGUGAAAGCAGGGGAUCUUCGGACCUUGCGCGAUUGAAUGAGCCGAUGUCGGAUUAGCUAGUUGGCGGGGUAAAGGCCCACCAAGGCGACGAUCCGUAGCUGGUCUGAGAGGAUGAUCAGCCACACUGGAACUGAGACACGGUCCAGACUCCUACGGGAGGCAGCAGUGGGGAAUAUUGGACAAUGGGCGCAAGCCUGAUCCAGCCAUACCGCGUGGGUGAAGAAGGCCUUCGGGUUGUAAAGCCCUUUUGUUGGGAAAGAAAAGCAGCAGGUUAAUACCCCGCUGUUCUGACGGUACCCAAAGAGUAAGCACCGGCUAACUUCGUG